GAGGUGACAAGUGGAGUGCCGCAGGGCUCCGUCCUGGGCCCGGUUCUGUUCAACAUCUUUAUUAACGACUUAGACAAAGGGUUAGAAGGCACGAUCAUCAAGUUUGCAGACGACACCAAACUGGGAGGGAUAGCUAACACACCAGAAGACAGGAGCAGAAUUCAAAACGAUCUUGACAAACUAGAGAGAUGGGCCGAAACUAACAAAAUGAAGUUCAACAGGGACAAAUGCAAGAUACUUCACUUUGGCAGAAAAAACGGAAAUCAAAGAUACAGAAUGGGGGACGCCUGGNNNNNNNNNNNNNNNNNNNNNNNNNNNNNNNNNNNNNNNNNNNNNNNNNNNNNNNNNNNNNNNNNNNNNNNNNNNNNNNNNNNNNNNNNNNNNNNNNNNNUCAGUUCCGGGUAUGACUGUGUGAGUGUCAGAGUGUGGAUCCACGAUCCAUCCACAAUCGCGAGGGCAUGAGAAGGGGUGGGCGCAGCUCCUUAAGGCGGAUCCCGGAGACGCACCACAUCAGAGCCCAAGGGGAGUGCGGCUCGCGAGGGUUUCCCUUUCGGGAUCGGGGGUCUUCCGUUGCCCACGCCUCGCCCUUCCCGCAAUCUCAAGCAAGGUCCCAACGCUGCUUCUCUAAAACGCAUGGCUUCCAGGAGGAACACAGGUGACCCUAAGGGAAAGAGCCCAGUCAAGAAGAUUCCAGCUAAGAGCUUUUCCUGUCCGGCAAUGUCUUUGGAUGAUGAUGACAGCACGGACUCAUCCACAUGCAAUAUGGAACAUGUGCCUGCUUUAGAAUGCCAAAGGGGCCCAGACCGUACAUCAGCAGGCACCAACAUAACAAAAGGAGGAAAAUUCCUUGCCAGGGUGCUGCUGCAGGGCCAUAUUACAAAUAUUUUGGGGUCAGUUGAGAUUUCUAGUCUAUCAACCAACUUGUUCCUUUCCUUUACCAUAUUUUAGUGUCAGCUGUAGUACUAGUGCAGUACAAAUGUGGCAACUAACAAGUUUCAUCUUGAUAGCCAUAAAAAUGGAAAACCCAAAGUUCUCUGAGACUGAGAGAGAGUGACUCAGCCUAGGUGCUGAAAUUUUUUAAAUUAUCUGAAAAAUCAGUGUAUGCGCAAAUGUUUCUGAAACUUCAGAGGAAUGAUGCCCUCGUUGUGUUGUGAGUCGUGACAUUGUAGAGAAAUUUGAAGCAUAGAAUCAUAGAGUUGGAAGAGACUUCAUGGGCCAUCCAGUCCAACCUCCUGCCAGGAAAAUCGCAUUCAAAGCACCCCCAAUAGAUGGCUAUCCAGCCUCUACUUAAAAGGCUCCAAAAAGGGAGAGUCCACCACACUUCGGAGCAGAGAGUUCCACUGCUGAAAGGCUCUCACAGUUAGGAAGUUCUUCUUCAUGUUCAGUUGAAAUCUCCUUUCUUGUAGUUUGAAGCCAUUAUUCCAUGUCCUAGUCUCCAGGGCUUGCUCCCUCCUCCCUAUGACUUCCUCUCACAUAUUUAUACAUGGCCCUCAUCAUGUCUCCUCUCAGCCUUCUCUUCUGCAGGCUAAACAUGCCCAGUUCAUUAAGCCACUCCUCAUAAGGCUUGUCCUCCAGACCCUUGAUCAUUUUAGUUGCCCUCCUCUGGACACAUUCCAGCUUGUCAACAUCUCCCUUAAAUUGUGGGCACAGAAUUGGACACAGUGUGAUCCUCUAUUCUGACCAAGGCUGAAUAUAGGGGGAGCAUGACUUCCCUGGAUCUAGACACUAGACUCCUAUUUAUGCAGGCGAAAAUCCCAUUGGCUUUUUUUUUUGCCGCCGCCGCCGCCGCCGCAUCACAUUGUUGGCUCAUGUUUAACUUGUUGUCCACGUGGACUCCAAGAUCAUUUUCACACAUACUGCUGUCAAGCCAGUCGAUCCCCAUUUUGUAUCUUUGCAUUUCAUUUUUCCUGCCUAAAUGGAGUAUUUCAUUUUGUUAGUUUCAGCCCAUCUCUCUAAUCUGUUAAGAUCAUUUUGAAUUCUGCUCCUGAAUUCUGGAGUAUUAACUAUCCCUCCCAAUUUGGUGUCAUCUGCAAACAUGAUGAUCAUGCCUUCUAGGCCUUCAUCUAAGUCAUUAACAAAGACACGGAACAGAAUCGAGCCCAGGACAGAACCCUGCUUCUGGCACUCCAUUUGUCACUUUUUCCAGGAUGGAGAGGAAGCAUUGGUGAGCACCCUUUGGAUUCAUUCACUUAGCCAGUUACAGAUCCACCUAGCUGUUGUUUGCUUUCAGUUGUACAUUUGAGAUCUUCAUCACUUUUCUUGAAUAGAUCUUCAUUCAGUGGCCACUGUGAGCAUCUCCUUCAGGAAUUUUUAACUACCCAGCUGGGUGUUCCCCUGGCUCAUGAGAAGACCGAGAGUUCAUUGACCUUUUUGAAUAUUAUUUAUUUAUUUAUUUAUUACAUGCAUUUAUGCCCCGCCCUUCUUCCCGAGGGGACUCAGAGCGGCUUACCUUCUGCCACGAGGGCCAGCAACAAAUAUACUAUAAAACAAAACAAUUAAAACAUGAUAAAAACGUGAUAAAAAGUAUAUAAAAAUUAAAACGCUGCAAGGCAGCAAUAUUGCACCAUUCUCGGUCAUUCACUACUGCUACAAUUACAGAUUUGCGACCCGAUUACAUCAGCCAGUGAGCUUAUUCGCUGAAUGCCUGGGCGCAGAGCCAAGUUUUUAGUUUUCUUCUAAAUUCCAGGAGGGAAGGGGUUUGCCAGAUAUCACUGGGGAGGGAGUUCCACAGCCGGGGAGCCACCACCGAGAAGGCCCUGUCCCUCGUCCCCACCAGUUAAUUAAAAUUAACACCAUGCCUUAGGUUUCCUGUCUUCCAGAGCAAAUGGUUACUGAUCUGUUGGACAGAAUUAUUCAAUUUUUGUAUCACAGGAAGGUCACUCUUAUGGAGUUCCAAGAAUGUAUAGGUCAUUUGAACUUUGCAUGGAGAAUGGCAGUACUGAAUAGAGCAUUUUUGCAACAUCUGUGUAAUGCAGCACACAGGGUUUCAUUUCCCCAUCACUGAUUUCAGUAAGGCCUUGACGAGGGCCCCUAUGAUCAUGUUGCAAACUAAGUAGUGGGCUAGACAAUACUACUAUUGGGUGGAUUUGUAAUUGGCUAAGUGACUGAACCCAAAGAGUGCUCACCAAUGGUUUCUCUUCAUUCUGGAAAGAAUGCACUAAUGGUUUGCCACAGAUUGCUGUCCUGGGUCCAGUGCUACUCAAAAUCUUUAUUGAUGACUUGGAUGAAGGUUUAGAGGGCAUGUUGAUCAGGUUUGCAGAUGACAACAAAUUGGGAGGGAUAGCUAAUACUCCAGAAACCAGGAACCAAAUUCACAAUGACCUUAACAGAUUAGAGAACUGGGCAAACAAUGUGAUUCAGCAGCUUAAAAAGCUAAUGGGAUUUGGGACUUCAUCAAAAGGUGUAUAGUGUCUAGAGACCAGACAUGAGCAAACUUGGGCACUCCAGGUGUUAGGAAUUCAACUCCCACAAUUCCUAACAGCUGGGAGCUGAAGUCCAAAACAUCUGGAGGGCCCAAGUUUGCCCAAGCCUGGUCUAGAUCAAAGGAAGUGCCCUUCUAUUCUGCUUCACUUCAAAUCACACUGUGUCCAAUUCUGGGCCCCACAAUUCAAGAAGGACAUUGACAAUUAUUAUUAUUAUUAUUAUUAUUAUUAUUAUUUUAUUCUUAUACCCCACCCCAUCUCCCCAAAGGGACUCGGGGUGGCUUACAUGGGGCCAAGCCCGAACAGAAAAAUAAAACAAAACAAUAAAACCAAUAAACCAAUAAUCAAACAAUAAAAGCAAGUCAUAAAAACCAUAUACAAGAUAAAAUGUUAAAAUCAUGGAUUAGGUUCAAAGAAUCUAGGCCAAAGUGCUAAAAGUGCAAAUAAAUCAUGUUCUCAAGGGAAGGAGGUUACUCAGCUAUGGUGGCUAUAAAGUGCCAUUAUAAUACUGGGGAAGGCAUUCACUGUAAUGGACAACAGGUCGAUCAUACAGAGAUCAGUCACCAAAAGCCUCCCGGAAGAGCCAAGUCUUCAGGCUCGUCCGAAAGGAGAGGAGGGUAGGGGCCUGCCUAAUCUCCCCAGGGAGCGAGUUCCAGAGCCGGGGGG
ensembl:lncRNA